rnacentral:rRNA from 1 species
CGGGGGGGGGCAAGCGUUGUUCGGAAUUACUGGGCGUAAAGGGCUCGUAGGUGGCCAACUAAGUCAGACGUGAAAUCCCCCAGCUUAACUGGGGAACUGCGUCUGAUACUGGAUGGCUUGAGUUUGGGAGAGGGAUGCGGAAUUCCAGGUGUAGCGGUGAAAUGCGUAGAUAUCUGGAGGAACACCGGUGGCGAAGGCGGCAUCCUGGACCAAUACUGACACUGAGGAGCGAAAGCCAGGGGAGCAAACGGGAUUAGAUACCCCGGUAGUCCUGGCCCUAAACGAUGAAUGCUUGGUGUGGCGGGUAUCGAUCCCUGCCGUGCCGAAGCUAACGCAUUAAGCAUUCCGCCUGGGGAGUACGGUCGCAAGGCUG